UCCAGCCAACCAACUUGAAUUGCAGACCUUCCAAGCCAUUACUCCAGCUGAUAUCCGAGAAGCACUUCGACGAUACAGUGAAAUGCCAGGUCCCUUUUCUGGAGCAGUUAAGCGAGUUGCUGGAUCAUCUCCAAGGAAUGUUCUUCUUUGUCUUUGAGCAGUCAUCAGAGUCCAGUCUUCUUCAAGAAUUGUCCUUCUGUGUCUUCAACCAGUCAGAUAUUCUCCUUUUAUAUUUGGACAUGAUAAGAUGUUUGGCACUGUCUUGCUAAACUUAAACUGCCCUUUUCCAUAAUUUACCUAUCUACUGACCUACCUACUUCCAUAAAUACCCUACCUACCUGCCUAGUUUCCUCCCUACCUACCAGUCUAUCUAUCUACGUACCUACUAAUCUAUCUAUGUACCUACUAAUCUAUCUAUGUACCUACUUACCUACCAAUCUAUCUAUCUACCUACGUACCUACCAGUCUAUCUAUCUACCUACCAAGCAGUCUAUCUAUCUAUCUACGUACCUACUUACCAGUCUAUCUACCUAUCUAUCUCCGUACCUCCUUACCUACCUACCAACCAGUCUAUCUAUCUAUCUAUCUACCUAUUCCCCCUUCUCUCUAUCUAUCUAUCUACCUACACAAGUACCUACUUACCUACCUAUCUCACCCUCUCUAUCUACCCAAGUACCUACCUACUUCUUUCCACACCUGCCAAUCUACUAUUCACCUACCCGUCCGUUCACCCAUGGGUGGUUGUAUACGAUUGUGUGAUUAUCUGGGUGAGGGAGAGAGUAUCAAUACAUAGAUGACGGAAUGUGUAUGUGUGGGCAUACACGUGUGUGUAGGAGUAUUUCCGUAUUUACAUAAUGUACAAGUGUGUGUGUGUGUGUGUAUGUGUAUGCAUGUAUAUGUAUGUGUGUAUAACACACACUGUGUAUAUGUACAUCAUCAGCUAACUCCCAAUCCAAUUGACCACCACUCACCAAACGACCAUCUAACCAAUAGUUCUCCGGACCAAAUGACUACCACCUCUGAUUGGAAUAAUUAGACAAGGAAUUCUUCAUAUGUAAAUAUGUGUUGUGUGAACUGUUGUAUGAAUAAAGACAUUUUGUAUCUUG